UACAGAGGUCCCAAGCGUUGUUCGGAUUCACUGGGCGUAAAGGGUGCGUAGGCGGUCGGGUAAGUCUGACGUGAAAUCUUCAAGCUUAACUUGGAACUGCGUCGGAUACUAUUCGGCUAGAGGAAUGGAGGGGAGACUGGAAUACUUGGUGUAGCAGUGAAAUGCGUAGAUAUCAAGUGGAACACCAGUGGCGAAGGCGAGUCUCUGGACAUUUCCUGACGCUGAGGCACGAAAGCCAGGGGAGCAAACGGG
rnacentral:rRNA from 1 species